GAUGAACGCUGGCGGCGUGCCUAAUACAUGCAAGUCGAGCGAACGGACGAGAAGCUUGCUUCUCUGAUGUUAGCGGCGGACGGGUGAGUAACACGUGGAUAACCUAUCUAUAAGACUGGGAUAACUUCGGGAAACCGGAGCUAAUACCGGAUGAUAUUUUGAACCGCAUGGUUCAAAAGUGAAAGACGGUCUUGCUGUCACUUAUAGAUGGAUCCGCGCUGCAUUAGCUAGUUGGUAAGGUAACGGCUUACCAAGGCAACGAUGCAUAGCCGACCUGAGAGGGUGAUCGGCCACACUGGAACUGAGACACGGUCCAGACUCCUACGGGAGGCAGCAGUAGGGAAUCUUCCGCAAUGGGCGAAAGCCUGACGGAGCAACGCCGCGUGAGUGAUGAAGGUCUUCGGAUCGUAAAACUCUGUUAUUAGGGAAGAACAUAUGUGUAAGUAACUGUGCACAUCCUGACGGUACCUAAUCAGAAAGCCACGGCUAACUACGUG
rnacentral:rRNA from 1 species